rnacentral:lncRNA from 1 species
CCAUUCAUCCAUUUGGAGAAAAGAAAAAAAAGAAAACUAGCAGAUCGCGAACCCUACCCAGCCACUCGUCGCCUCCUCCCCUUCUAGAGCGCCGCCGCCACCUCCCUUCACCACCUACCACGGAGCUUCUCCCCGCUAGAUCCGUCUCCACCUCUAGGAAGCGCUGCCUCCAAGUCCUUCACCUUGUUGCCCAGGUCCUCGACCGCGUUGGGCAUGUGGUCGGAGAAAACCACCCGCGCUGGCAAGGCGCCGAGCGCUG